UACGGAGGAUGCAAGCGUUAUCCGGAAUGAUUGGGCGUAAAGCGUCCGCAGGUGGCAAUGUAAGUCUGCUGUCAAAGCGUCUGGCUCAACCAGAUAAAGGCAGUGGAAACUACAUAGCUAGAGUAAGGUAGGGGUAGAGGGAAUUCCUGGUGUAGCGGUGAAAUGCGCAGAUAUCAGGAGGAACACCGGUGGCGAAGGCGCCACUCUGGGCCGAAACUGACGCUGAGGAGCGAAAGCGUGGGUAGCAAACAGG
rnacentral:rRNA from 1 species